UACGUAGGGUGCGAGCGUUAAUCGGAAUUACUGGGCGUAAAGCGUGCGCAGGCUGUUUUGUAAGACAGAUGUGAAAUCCCCGGGCUUAACCUGGGAACUGCAUUUGUGACUGCAAGGCUAGAGUGUGUCAGAGGGGGGUAGAAUUCCACGUGUAGCAGUGAAAUGCGUAGAUAUGUGGAGGAAUACCGAUGGCGAAGGCAGCCCCCUGGGAUAACACUGACGCUCAUGCACGAAAGCGUGGGGAGCAAAC
rnacentral:rRNA from 1 species